CAGAAGGCCGCGUCACCAGGGGCGGCGGAGGGUGUGUUGGGGGGAGCUCCGACCCCUGACCUGACCUACGUGAAGACUCCCGCCCUGGAGGACCCCGCCUUCCAAGUGUGCUCCUUCCUCUUCUGACCUUCGGGAGGGACUCGGUAAGACGCCCUCAACCACCACCACCACCACCACCACCACCAUCACCACCUCCAUCACCGCCAUCACAGUCCUGGGAAGAAAAUUUUAGUGUUCGGCGUAAAAAUGUGCUGAGUCAUGGUGCCGCAAGAUAACACUGAUGUUGUGAAAGGCAGUGGAUUGAGAGGGAUUAAUAUAUGGCGGAAGAGGACGGAGUGGGGUGCCGGAGAGGAUGAUCGAGUGUGAUGCAGCGGAAGGGAGUGAGAAGCGGUGACUGUGAGUGGUCUUCCUAUUUUAAGUUUCUGAAAAUGUGUAGAACGUUGCUCGAGCCACGUGGAUUGUCUGAUUGGAGUCAAGGUGUGGUCAGUGAGGUGCCGGCAAACAUUAUGGUCUUCUCUAUUUUAUCAUUUUAAGUUCAGUGUGAGAAAUGUGUACCCAGAGGUUUUCCUUGAGUGACGAACUGAGCGAGUCACGCCGCCGCCACGCCGUCACUGGGCGCCCAGAGGAGCAUUGAUAGUGCCAGUGAUUUAAAUUAUUUAUUUCUUAGUCUUCUUGUAGUUCUCUGUUCUCAUAUACUUUCGUUCAUAUCUCUAUCUCUAGUUCAUUAUGCUGCUCUCGUGAACAGUAAAUGAACAGGAGUGAUGCAUGUACGUGAAUUGCUGCACAUGCGCACGUGUGUCCUGUGUGCGCCAGGAGUGGAGGGACAGUGCCGGCGUGAGAGGGACGAGUCGCUGGGAACUGACUCGAAACAUUGUGCAGGAAAGAUGAACACUUGUGAAACACUUAUCGCUCUUGGGUUGUUACUUCUGGCUCACGUAAGAGAUUAUAUUCUGUAAGCAUUAUUAUCAAAGCCUCGAGCCUCUGUACUUAAGUUAUUGAAUCUAUUAAUAAUGAUUUAAUAUCCUUCCAAAUGAAUAUUCUUACCAUCCACUCAAGUUAAUUACUGUCGUGAAGCUUAUUAGGGUUUUCAUGAGUGUUUCCAUGUUGCUAGUGAUAGUCAUAGGUUCUCCUACAUUAAUGGAAAAACAUUCUUGAGAACCCGACUUAUCUCCGUGGUCUCUGAAAAUAUUCCUUACGAGAAAACCUGUACACGAGCUGUAAGUGUGGCGACGCGGCGAGGACUGAAGGAGGCAGUUUCAUGAACCAAUCCCCGAACUGAUGUUUCGAACCCAUGAAGUAGCUCGGACCCAAAAACUCUGCCAUUUUGCCAAAGCGGCGAAGAGAAGAAGGUAUCGUCACCACCAGUCACUAGCAGUCACCAGCAGUCAUCCCCGGUCACCACCAGUCACCACCAGUCACUAGCAGUCAUCUCCGGUCACCACCAGUCAUCAGCAAAGUCAUCAAGUUUUCAUCCUAGUUCGCUGCUCUACAAAUAUGGAGUACAGUGGGAAGAACACCCAACACCUUGCCCCCAACACAACUGCCUCUGGCUACCAGGGUGAAGCAUGUCCCAAACAGAGAGCAGAGCAAAGCCUAACAGACACUUCCAUAUAUAAACAAGAUUAUUGAGCAACAUGACAAUGGAAAGUAUAUGAAAUGAUGGAAUGCACAAAAAGAAGUAUCAUUUGGCUGCAUCAAGAGGUUACAUCUUGUAAGUACUGUGCUAAACAAACACCACUGGAAGUACAUAUAAAUAAAUGGAAUGUGACUUUUUAACC